AGAUUCCAUGCCCGGGCAAGAAGAGCUGAAAAACCUUAUGCCACAUAUAUGUAUCAUGGAACCAGCCCAAACCUGCUUGUGCUUCUGACCUCUGAAACACUCCCAGCGUGCUUGAGAUUUAAAGGGCGAGCUUUCCAAAAGUAAAAGGACAGUGCUCUUGUUUCUCUUAUGAACAGUUCCUUCCUCUGUUGCUACUUGUGAUGAUGCAAAUUAUACAGAAUGGGUCCUUAGAAUGACAUUUUCUGAAUACCCUCUGGAUGAGGGGGAGGGAACAGCACGCAGGAACAAACACCAGGCCAAUCCGCUACUCAGUCCGGAUCCCCUGGGCUACUGGCCACCAGGACCACGACGGUGUCAAAACCCAAGCACGCAACAGCCAGAA
rnacentral:lncRNA from 9 species